rnacentral:rRNA from 1 species
UACGUAGGGGGCAAGCGUUGUCCGGAAUCAUUGGGCGUAAAGCGCGCGUAGGCGGCCCGGUAAGUCCGCUGUAAAAGUCCAGGGCUCAACCCUGGAAAGCCGGUGGAUACUGUGAGGCUAGAGUACGGAAGAGGCGAGUGGAAUUCCUGGUGUAGCGGUGGAAUGCGCAGAUAUCAGGAGGAACACCAAUAGCGAAGGCAGCUCGCUGGGACGUACUGACACUGAGGCG